AUCUCCUGGCAGUGCUGAUGCCUGGCUAUUUGGAGUCUGGCUGCUGUCUGCCUCUGGCCUGCUGUGCCCUGUCAUUGAAGUGAAGGCUACAGGUGAUGGGAUCAGAAAUUACUAGAUGCCCUGGCGAUGCUUAUGGGCCAUUCAGUAACCGACAAGUUGCUGAUUCCACACAGUCCUAGG
rnacentral:lncRNA from 14 species